AUAACCAUUUGUCUUGGUCGGAGGAGUGCAAUAAUGCUCAGUCGUCACUGUUUUGCGUCGUUUUUGAUUCCCACAGAUGCAGCGGCGAUGGAAACCCGAAGGUCACUGUUGAUAACGUUUGUUGGUCUCCUAAUUCCGCAGCUACUCCUACUCCCAUCUUUAAUUUCACUGUUUCAUUCCAGUUUCAAUUUCAUUCCCGCAGGCGCAGCGGUAAUCGAAACUCAAAAGAAAUUAAUUUUUAGCAAUCGGCAUUUCAGCAAUUAUACAAGCCAACAGUUCUGAAGAAAAUCAGAACGAAGGAGACUUUUCCAGCAACCAUAUUCCCAGGGAAGCAUGCAGAAGUCCUACCUAAACAAGAGUCUCAGGCGCCAAUGUCAGUUUGUGAGCUUAUAUCAGAAUCCGCCAGCAGAAUGUGAUCUAAAAUUUCUUGAGAACUACGCACUUUAAAUCUGAUGAUGUCAUCUGGCCAAUCAAAGUAUUGUGAUUCUCCUAAAAGACCUCUGCAAGUGUGGGCUAUGGCUGCCACAACAGCUUGACUCCCCAAAUGGAGCAUAAUGCCUCUGAUAGAGAUCCAAUUUUCAUACUUUUUUUUCUCUCUUGGCUUAUAAUUUAAGAAGCAUGGACUCCAUUUUUUUUUUCUAAGGCGAAGGAACUGGUUCUAAAGCUCCUUUAUAUAUAUAUAUAUAUAUAUAUAUAUAUAGGAAUGAUUUUAUUUUCACAGUGUUAUUCUAUUUUUGUAGCAGCCAUACUUUAUCAGUAAAGACAUUUAUGCAUAUAUAUAUAUUUUUAUUUUGUAUAAAAUAUAAUAAAAUUUCCAGCAUAUAUGUUUGGAUUUGAACA